GACGAACGCUGGCGGCGUGCCUAAUACAUGCAAGUUGAGCGCUGAAGGUUGGUACUUGUACCAACUGGAUGAGCAGCGAACGGGUGAGUAACGCGUGGGGAAUCUGCCUUUGAGCGGGGGACAACAUUUGGAAACGAAUGCUAAUACCGCAUAAAAACUUUAAACACAAGUUUUAAGUUUGAAAGAUGCAAUUGCAUCACUCAAAGAUGAUCCCGCGUUGUAUUAGCUAGUUGGUGAGGUAAAGGCUCACCAAGGCGAUGAUACAUAGCCGACCUGAGAGGGUGAUCGGCCACAUUGGGACUGAGACACGGCCCAAACUCCUACGGGAGGCAGCAGUAGGGAAUCUUCGGCAAUGGACGAAAGUCUGACCGAGCAACGCCGCGGGAGUGAAGAAGGUUUUCGGAUCGUAAAACUCUGUUGGUAGAGAAGAACGUUGGUGGGAGUGGAAAGCUCAUCAAGUGACGGUAACUAACCAGAAAGGGACGGCUAACUACGUG
rnacentral:rRNA from 1 species